UUUUGGGUAAUUCCAGACACUUCCUUGAUUUGAAGAAACACAGAUGAUUGUAGUUAGGAACCUUAGAACAGGUGCAGGUCAAUGCUCCAGAGCGUUUAAAAUCUCCCGAAACAUUAUUAUGGCUGAAAGCUCUUUUCACACAACUAGCUGUAACAAAGCAGAGUUUCGCGAUCUACUCCAAAAGGCAAAGAACGUUGUUGUUCUAACUGGAGCAGGUACUAGUGCUGAGAGUGGGAUUCCAACAUUUCGAGGCUCCGGUGGUCUUUGGAGAACUUUCAGAGCUCAAGAUCUUGCGACUCUCGAAGCAUUUCGUAGAAAUCCGUCAUUAGUAUGGGAGUUUUAUAGUUACAGGCGAGAAGUUGUCCUCACGAAACAACCAAACAAGGCGCAUUAUGCUAUUGCAGAGUUGCAGAAAAAGUUUGGAGAACAAGGUAGAAAUGUCGCCGUGAUAACACAGAAUAUUGAUGGAUUACAUCAGGCUGCUGGGACAAAAGAAGUAAUAGAACUUCAUGGGGCACUGUUUAAGACAAGAUGUACUGUAUGUGGACAUGUAACAGAAAAUAGGAACAGUCCAAUUGUACCCGCUUUAGCUGGGAAAGGAGCACCUGAUCCUGAUGCCCAGGAUGCAAAGAUUCCGAAGAAAGAUCUACCCAGGUGUGUCCAGCCCAAUUGUGGACAAUUGGCCCGUCCUCAUGUUGUGUGGUUUGGAGAAAAUCUAGACUACAAUGUAUUGAAAGCUACAAACAAUGCCUUGGAAAAGUGUGAUAUGUGUCUUUUGGUUGGUACAUCAUCUGUGGUGUACCCAGCUGCAGGAUUUGCGCCAAUGUUGGCCGCCAGAGGAGUCCCAGUUGCAGAAUUCAACAUGGAAGAGACAACAUGCACUGGAGAAUUCAGGUUCCAUUUUCAGGGUCCAGCUGGUGAAACUCUUCCUCCUUUACUUGCAGAGAAGUGAGACUCGGCAGAGUUUCCAUAAUAUUGGUCGCUAUCACAACAGGGUCAACAUCAGCCCUUCUCCAUCCAGAUCAAAGGCUUGGCAACUAAGUACACAACUGUAAAAUGGCCUCUUACAGAAAAGAGAAUUACAGAUGUGCUCUGAGUGACAAGUACUGGUUGUAAGACUCUUUUUAGAGCAGCGUCUCUUGCAUUGACUGGCUAUUAACAAUUAUUUGUCAUACAUAAUUAGUUGUCAUGUAAAUAAAAACAAUAUGGCUAGUUUUGAACACUAUGCCCAUAAAUAUUGCACGUUUAGAGACAAAUAAAUGUUGAAAAAAUUGGUUUGCAAAUUUGAUCCAGCCUUGUAUCAGAAUGAUUAAUUUUAACCAGCAACUUUGCCCUUUGUCAUCACCGAUUAUAACACUAUCCACUUUCAACUGAUGUUAAUUAUAGGAUUCAACCAUUUACAUUUUAAGCGCUGAGAACUAAAUUAUGUUUUUUCCUGAAAAUACACACUUGUUUGGACGG